AUAUUCGAGGGGGGUCAAUGAUGUUCAGGGGGUCUGGAAACCAUAGUGGCGCAACUGGGUGUGACCAACAAUUUGUUUGACCCCAGAAGACAUUUCCCAAGAUCCCGUCUGAUUACACACUCUCCUGUUUCCAAUAACCCAGACACUAUAAUGGUUGCACUCACUUUCAUACAGGUGCUCAGUAUUGAUUAGCCUAGCUGUCAUACCAACUGCUUGUAUUCUGUUUCCGAGGGCCCGUUCUUCGUACGUCGCUUAUUACAUCCGAGAUCAAAUGACACAUCCAAGAUGAUAUCAUCGUGCUAAUCAUGAUCCGGCUAAUUGGGUUCUUCGAACACACCUGUUGUGUAUGAUUAGUAUCGCUGGAUUGAGUUAUCUGAGAUAAUUGCGCGUUCAUGUGUUGGCUUAAAAGGGGAUAUGUAUCGAUAGUAGAAACUUUGAUCAACAACGCUGCUAAUGGCUGUUCAGCAUGGCCAAAGAACGUGCCAAAUUUUUCUCCCAAGCAGAACAAGAGCUUUUAAUGGAAGGUUAUGCCGAAUUUGAGUCGUUAAUUAAAACGACAGGGAACACCUCAAAGUCUGCAAAAGCCAGGAGAGUGGGCUGGCAAAAAGUAGCAGACAAAUUAAAUGCUAAGUGCUGUCCAUAGUAGAUGUUUCUAUCAUUUUCUACAGUAUGUGUUUUUGCAUUUUAAUAAUUUAAUAUUUACUUUCUUUAAUGUCAGAUCCACCACUGGACCCACUAGAACAUGGGAACAAGUAAAAGUGAAAUACAAGAAUAUUCUACAAAAUGGUAGCCUUUAAUUCAUACUGUCUUUAUUUUAAAAAGCCACUUUUUUCCUUCUUUUUAAAAGCCACUGUUAAAUGAUGUGUUUGUCUAUUUAUAACAGCCACCAAGAAAAAGGCUGAAAAAAAAAAAAACAGGUGGUGGUCCUGCACCACCACAAUAUACCCCAGCAGAGGAGCUGGCCCUUGGAUUGAAUGAAAACCGAACCAUUGUGGAGGGCAUCCCUGGGGGCUGCUCUUCCUCAGACCCAAAGACAGGGACCAGUAGCAGCAACACCUUCAUUACUGUUUUACAUAAUACACCAACACUUUUACCUGUUCCCAUGCAAGUGGUGGCUGAAGCAUAUGCAGACAGUGAAGAAACCCUCUCAGAAGACUGUCCUUUGGAGGAAGAACCUGUAAGUGCAUAAAUACCUUUACACUAAUUUGUAUAUAGCCUACUUGUGUACCUAUUCUUUCUGUCUGCAAUUUGAGUUGCAGGAGUCCACACCUAGAGAAAGGCUUGCAGAAGAGUCUGCACAAACAACUAAUACAGAGGUGGACAGUGUUGUACUUUUACUUUUGUUGCAUGAGGCAUGUUUUGACCCUUUUUUUUUUUUUUUUUUUACAAAAUGACAGGCUGACAUCCGUUUCCUCUAUAAACGGCAUCUUCAACAAAAAAUUAAGUAUUUUGAGCUGAAUAAACGCAAAUUAAGAGGAGAAAUUGAACUUGACAACUUGAAAAAGAGAAAAAUUGCUCUAGAGAUUAGAGUUGCUUCAAAAGGACCUUCAGAGUAAGUGCUAAUACACCAUUUGACACAUAGUUAUGUAAAGUCACCAAUACUACUAUCUCUAAUUGCAGGCAAAAGAUGACUUGCUGGCUUUUCUUUAUAAAGAAUUGUUUAAAUAAAACUCCGGGAACUAAGCAUAUUUGUCGUCUUUUAUUACACAUUCAAAAAUGGUGUUCCACAAUUCUGUCCCGUGCAGCUCUGCCACUAGGUUGGUCCAAGUGCACUGGCUGGAGGUCAUCAUCAGGCUGCACCCC